GACGAACGCUGGCGGCGUGCUUAACACAUGCAAGUCGAACGGAAAGGCCCUGCUUUUGUGGGGUGCUCGAGUGGCGAACGGGUGAGUAACACGUGCGUAACCUGCCCUUGACUUUCGGAUAACUUCAGGAAACAGGGGCUAAUAACGGAUAGGAGCUCCUGCUGCAUGGUGGGGGUUGGAAAGUUUCGGCGGUUGGGGUUGGACUCGCGGCUUAUCAGCUUGCUGGUGGGGUAGUGGCUUACCAAGGCUUUGACGGGUAGCCGGCCUGAGAGGGUGACCGGCCACAGUGGGACUGAGCUACGGCCCAGACUCCUACGGGAGGCAGCAGUGGGGAAGAUUGCACAAUGGGCGGAAGCCUGAUGCAGCAACGCCGCGUGCGGGAUGACGGCCUUCUGUUUGUAAACCGCUUUCGCCUGUGACGAAGCGUGAGUGACGGUAAUGGGUAAAGAAGCACCGGCUAACUACGUG
rnacentral:rRNA from 1 species